GGGACAGCUAGAGAAACAAGAGGACCAGUCCCCAACCCAGCAUCUUGGGUGUGUGUGGGGGGGCUGCACUAGGAAGAGGUGUUCUAACAUUGGGCUUUGCAGACCCAUGGGGCUUAACUUCAGAGUUUCUACAAGCAGCAGGGCAUAAUUUCAGGUACUUAAAAAAUCUGCAGGCUUAAAACUGGGUGGUGUAAGCCCCCACAACCUCCCACGUUUCAGACCUAUGGUUCUUAGCUCCCCCUUACCAGAGUCACAUAGCCCUUAGCUACUGUUAAAACUGGAAAAUUGCCUCAGGAAAUAAAGUUGCCUUCGGAAGAGUCUGUGGGAUGCCAUUCUACCGGAGAUCCACAUAAUGUGCCAUGUCUGUGAGGGGGGAAAAACAAUUUGCAGCUUAGCAGUAGUCACAGAACUAGAACUUCCAUCUGUGCUCUAGAGAUGACAUCACUAAUGUAACCUGCUGAGAACGUUUUGCAGUGCCAGGGCCCUGAGACCAAACAAUCACCUCUCUACAGUCACACCAAAGCCCAGAUGUUACCAGAAGGGACAAGAUGAUCAAGAAAAGAAGUAUUACAGACCUAGGGCAAAAUGCUGAAAUGCAGACCCAAUUGCUUCAGAGGCAAAGCUGAGGCAUUCACCCUUGACUGGUGUCCAUGAUCUGUGGUGCUUCUGGUUUGCUGUGGAAGAAACAAGGCACUAGGCUGCUUUUGUCCAGGAAGACCUCUUCUGGAGGAAUAGACAGGAGACAGAGAUGGAGGAAUGUUAGUCCAAACUCUGAAUUUGCCCCUGGCUCUCCUGGACUUAAACUGCCCACUUCAGGUUUCCCCCACAGAUUGACCCGCGGGGAAUAAACUGCCUUUUCAUGAACACAGGUGCAACAUAUUCCAUAUGAAAGCUAAU
rnacentral:lncRNA from 1 species